rnacentral:lncRNA from 10 species
CUGAGACUUUUCUCAGAAAGCAACUCUGGGUCUAUUAAAAUGCUGCAAAACCAGAAAGGAUGAUGAUUUGUCAUGUAAAAAUGUAAGGGCAGCAAUUAGGAGAGUAGAGGCUCAUCAACUGAGUUCUUUCCAGAGAGGGACCUUGUAAGGCUGACUUUGGAAUAUGACUGCAUUCUGAUGGAGAGAUUUCCAGUUUAAGAUGCCAUACUGAACAUAUACACUGAUCUCUUUGCCUUUGGAAACUCCAUUAAGCUGAUUGUAAAGGAGGAAAAGGAUUCUCACAUGACAAUGAAGAGACUGAAGAAGUAUCAUCAAUGGAUAAAGCAGAAUAGAAAUAGCAGCCGCCUGGACCAUACCUAGAAAGGAAUCAUUUUGCCUGGCAGAAGCAUGAAACAGUUCCAUAUUUGAGAUGGCAUUUACCACUGAGGGAAAAAAAAAGUAUCAUGUGAAAGAAGCAAGAAUUGGACUGACCACACACUUGUCAUUGCCAAUCAGAUGCUGCAAAACAAUGGAUCUGUUUUUCAGAGUUCUGAAAUAAAAUGCUAAUCAAACUAGAAUCUGCUUAGCUAAGACACUGCCAAAUAUGAAGACCAAAUAAAAGAUUUUCAGAUGUGUCAUAAUUCAGAGUUUAUACUCCAAGCAUUCUUUUGUAGAAAGGAACUCAAGGGUGUAUUUCAGCAAAAUAAAGAAGUAAAGUACUAGAGCCAUCACUCAGAGAGCAAAUGACCAGACCAGAUGCUAACAACAAACAUUGUGUGACUUCCUAUCUCCAGCCACUUCUGAAGUCAGAUCUAUUUUCUUGAGUUGGAGGGCGGUGGCACGGUAUUGGCUCACUGCAACCUCCGUCUCCCAGGUUCAAGUGAUUCUCCUGCCUCAGCCUCCCAAGUAGCUGGGACUACAGGCAAGCACCACCAUGCCCAG